UUCAAUAUUUAAAUGAUAACAUUACAUUUUUUGGGUAUCCUUCUGUUGAACUGUCUGUUUAAAAUUAAUUGCCAACACUCUGACAUCAUUCAAACAAUCCCUCAAAACGCACCUUUUCACUCUAGCCUUCAACUCCUUAUUCCACCUAGCUUAGCACUUUUUACUUUUGUUGUUAUUUUUCUUCUUUCCUUGCUUGUAAAGCGAUUUGAGCACCAGGAAAAGCGCUAUAUAAAUCAAAUGUAUUAUUAUAAGCGUUGAUUCAAGUCUUUAAACGACUUCGGUCAUGGCCGACGGCAUCCGCAGUGUCCCCCCCACACUGUUGCUUUGCCUUCAAAUGGCAGUGUGCGAGCAGUUGGGUCAGUUAAAAAAGUGUCACUUUUUUCAUGUUUUGGGUAGUGUGUUUUUGAUGACUGUCCUGUGACACAGCAUGGCACCACUGUGAAGAACUGAAACUUCGGCCUGUGUUUGCAGAUGAAUGGGAUGCCCUUGCUAAUGCCUUCAAAAUCGGAAUAAGCUGGAUGACACUGUGUUGGCUUCUGGAAACCGAGAUCAGGUACCAUCAACUGGUGUCAUGAAAACAUUGUCCUUGCAGCAAUGAAAAAAGCACAGAAAGAAAAACAAUGAAAUGAUCAGCCUCCAAAAAAUGAUGAAGGAAGAGCUCGGGACUGAGGAAGCAGUCAUUCAAAAAAUGAUAUCCCAUCCUAAAGGUGUCGUGCUAUGAUCCAAGAAAACGGUUGACCUCUUCCAUGACAGGUGCAGGGAAGAUAUUGUAUAUUUGGAAGCGACAGGGAGCAAAAGGGAAAACCUCACCGUUUUAUGUAUACGAGAUGGUGCUCCGAAAUCCAUUCAAAGGAUCCUCCCCUGUCUCCGAGGCCACAGACAUCACCAAUGACCACACAACGGCCUCCAUAUCAUAUUUCAUUGGGGCAUUUGUGACGGAUUGAAUAAGACUCCAUGGAAGAAGAGCCAAGCAAAGGCCUGCCGUGUUGAUAUGCGAUGGCUCAACAGUCCUUCUGCAGUCCAUGGCCUAUAACUUCUAUGGAGUCAGCCUCCAGGAACUGCUCUCCAGAAACCACAGCAUUGUGUCUGGACAGGCGAAGCAUGGUUGCAUAGGGCUACCCAUCAUGCAUCGCUGUUAAGUCAUGUCAUGAAAAAUGCCGAAAACAAUAAGUGAUUUCUGUCCUUUAGUACAAUGCUUCCUGAAAUCAUUCAUUGGUGAAGUCUUUGUAAUAAUAAUCUUUCAACCUUUUGCUUAAAGUGCUGCCAAACAUUACCACCUGGCUAUGCAUGUCUUUGGACUCAGGACACAGGCCACCACACUGUAGAGCAGGAGGAAGUUCUCUCCAGAGCCUACUGACAGAUUCAGCACAGUCAGACUGGACAAUUCAAGUGUUGUGGUGACCUGGGACGCCAUGGAACAGGGCCCAUUUAUGAAUAACUUUCCCUGAAGCACCAAAGGGCUCCCAAAAGACCCACACAGGUACAAUAAAGCUUUGAUGUCAAAUUGAAUUUCCUUGCAUUAUUCCAUCAUCAAUAUUAUAAACUACAAUGUAUACAGUAUGUAAACCAUGUGAUGUUAACAAUAUAAUUUGAUGUACCGUAACUAAUAUGUUGAACUGCAGAUUAACACUGGACAACAAAACUCAAGGCAUUAUGGAAAAAAGCGAGGGGGACCUCUAAAGAUCUGUUUUCAACGAAGACAUCUGACCAGGCUGGACGAUAAGGGAAUAUGGCGACUCUCUGAGGAGAGCAGAAGGCAAAGAAAAUAUUUGGUGCAAAAAUAAAUCAAGAUUGAAUGACGUGAAAUGGCAGAACAUGAAAUGAAAGAGCAUGCAGGAGAAAAAACGGAAAUAUGUUGAAAAUAUCAGAAAACACAACAUAGUAUAGAAUGUCAAAGGGGAUAUGUACGCUGCUACAGCGAAGGGGACAACACGGACAGACAACAUAUGAAAUAAAGAG